rnacentral:tRNA from 1 species
ACGACAGUAAGUUAAUGGCAAACUCGGGCACUUCCAAUGCCUCAAUGCGUGUUCGAUUCACGUCUGUCGUA